rnacentral:rRNA from 1 species
UACGGAGGAUCCGAGCGUUAUCCGGAUUUAUUGGGUUUAAAGGGUGCGUAGGCGGGAGAUCAAGUCAGUGGUGAAAGUUUGCAGCUUAACUGUAAAAUUGCCAUUGAAACUGAUUUUCUUGAGUACAGACGAGGUAAGCGGAAUGUGUAGUGUAGCGGUGAAAUGCAUAGAUAUUACACAGAACACCGAUAGCGAAGGCAGCUUACUGGUAUGUAACUGACGCUGAGGCACGAAAGCGUGGGGAUCGAACAGG